AGUCUUAUAGUCAAAAAUGAUGAUGUAAAAUUGCAAGUUUUAAGGUAUAUUAUAUUAUAUUAAGGCUU
rnacentral:tRNA from 1 species